UAAUACGUAGGGGGCGAGCGUUGUCCGGAUUUAUUGGGCGUAAAGAGCUCGUAGGCGGUUCGGUAAGUCGGCUGUGAAAUCUCCACGCUCAACGUGGAGGGGUCAGUCGAAACUGCCGUGACUCGAGUCCGGUAGAGGAGUGUGGAAUUCCCGGUGUAGCGGUGAAAUGCGCAGAGAUCGGGAGGAACACCCGUAGCGAAGGCGGCACUCUGGGCCGGUACUGACGCUGAGGAGCGAAAGCGUGGGGAGCAAACAGGAUUAGAUACCCUGGUAGUCCACGCCGUAAACGUUGGGCACUAGGUGUGGGGCUCUAUCGACGGAUUCCGUGCCGUAGCUAACGCAUUAAGUGCCCCGCCUGGGGAGUACGGUCGCAAGAUUA
rnacentral:rRNA from 1 species